rnacentral:rRNA from 1 species
UACCAGCACCCCGAGUGGUCGGGACGUUUAUUGGGCCUAAAGCAUCCGUAGCCGGUUCUACAAGUCUUCCGUUAAAUCCACCUGCUUAACAGAUGGGCUGCGGAAGAUACUAUGGAGCUAGGAGGCGGGAGAGGCAAGCGGUACUCGAUGGGUAGGGGUAAAAUCCGUUGAUCCAUUGAAGACCACCAGUGGCGAAGGCGGCUUCCUGGUCUGCAACUGACGCUGUGGCGCGAAAGCUAGGGGAGCAAACGGG